CCUACGGGGGGCAGCAGUGGGGAAUAUUGGACAAUGGGGGCAACCCUGAUCCAGCCAUGCCGCGUGUGUGAAGAAGGCCCUCGGGUUGUAAAGCACUUUCAGUGAGGAAGAACGCCUGGUGGUUAAUACCCAUCAGGAAAGACAUCACUCACAGAAGAAGCACCGGCUAACUCCGUGCCAGCAGCCGCGGUAAUACGGAGGGUGCGAGCGUUAAUCGGAAUUACUGGGCGUAAAGCGCGCGUAGGUGGCUUGAUAAGCCGGUUGUGAAAGCCCCGGGCUCAACCUGGGAACGGCAUCCGGAACUGUGAAGCUAGAGUGCAGGAGAGGAAGGUAGAAUUCCCGGUGUAGCGGUGAAAUGCGUAGAGAUCGGGAGGAAUACCAGUGGCGAAGGCGGCCUUCUGGACUGACACUGACACUGAGGUGCGAAAGCGUGGGUAGCAAACAGGAUUAGAUACCCUAGUAGUC
rnacentral:rRNA from 1 species